GACAGAGGGGGCAAGCGUUGCUCGGAAUCAUUGGGCGUAAAGCGCGCGUAGGCGGCCCUGUAAGUCCGUUGUGAAAGUCAAAGGCUCAACCUUUGAAAGCCGAUGGAUACUGCAGGGCUAGAGUCCGGAAGAGGCGAGUGGAAUUCCUGGUGUAGCGGUGGAAUGCGCAGAUAUCAGGAGGAACACCAAUAGCGAAGGCAGCUCGCUGGGACGGUACUGACGCUAAGGCGCGAAAGCGUGGGGAGCGAACAGG
rnacentral:rRNA from 1 species